UUUCUCUUUUUUAACAAAGAUAGCAAUAAACACCACUUAAUUAAAUGCAUGACCAUUGCAAAUCUUCAUCAUGUACAGCACACAGUGGACUGAGCAGACACAAUCAUUAAAGGAUAAGCACUAAUGAAAUUUCAUUUGAACGCAUCUAAUCCAGUAGGGGUAAAGCAUUCACAGCCACCAAAAUAACACAAACAAGCCACGUUAUAUCAGCUGGAUAGCAAUAAGUUGGUAUCACUUAUUGUUCAGAAAUGGGAACUUGUAAUCCAUGGUUAAAGCCUCCAAACACAACACUGCCUUUCUACAUGGAGAGCAACAGUUUACAGGCAGAUGGAGAGCUGUUAGUAGGCCUAGUUAUUUCAGAGCAUGCUGAUGAAGUCAUUGGAAUGGUUUUCAAUCAUCUUCAAUUUACUAAGUGAUAUAUUGCUAAAAUGCCUGCUCACCGCAGCAAGAUUGACAAGACAAUUACCAAAAAUUGUAAAAUUCAAGUAACAUUUAAUGCUGCAAACUGACUUAC
rnacentral:misc_RNA from 1 species